rnacentral:lncRNA from 1 species
UUUCAAUCAUUGCCGCUUCUCGGUAUUUAUGUAUUGAACGAACAACUUUAAUUGCCACAAGUUCCUUCGUUUCAUUGUCUAGGCAUUCAAGGACUUGUCCAAAAGUCCCUGCAAUUAGGUAUCAAAUAGAUACAGCUAAGUAAAUGAACUAAAAUGUCUCAUGGGAAGUACAAGCACAAUACUAGGGAACUUCUCUAGAAGUACUUUAAUGUUCCUAUGAUCAGGUAUCAAAUAGAUACAGCUAAAUAAAUGAACUAAAAUGUCUCAUGGAAAGUACCAAGUACAAUAUUAGGAAACUUCUCUAGAAGUAUUUUAAUAUUCCUAUAUAAUUGGGGAUCCUGUCGAUAGAUACUACUAAAAGUACCAACCUUGAUAAGUGAAGAACUAUUCAUUUUUCUGUCAAUACUGAGUGAAACUAAAAUUGAGAAAAUACUGAGUAACAUACUUCAUAGGGCAUUUCUUUUUUCAGCAAAAAGUUUACAACAACAACAACCUAGUGUAAUCCCAAUGGUGGAUCUGGGGAGAGUAGGAUGUACGCAGCUUUACCCCUAUCCUGGAAGGGCAAAGAGACAAUUUUACCUCAGACAAAAUGGAAAAUAGCAGGAAUAAAUCAACAAAAACAUGUGAAUGUUUUCAAGAAAAAAAAACUAUCAAAAAAAUGAUUUUGAGCAGGCCUUGGAAAAAAAAAAUUAGCUAUUCAAACAUCAAUAAAGAUUGCUUCAAUAAAAAAAGGUACUACAUUAUACUCAUAAAAAACCCAAUAAACACCCCUCUCAAAAACAUAACAAGCAAAGGGGGGCAACAACUCAGGAAAAGAAAAGAGAGGAAUAACUAACCU